rnacentral:lncRNA from 1 species
AGCGGCAUCAAAGUGGAAGGAGGAGGAACGCCAGCCCUGAAGGAUGUCGAACUGGCUUAGGUCUUUGAAAACUACCCCACUGUCAAGCUCCCUCUGAGUUGCUUCCAGUCCUCAGGAGUGAAGGUAGAGUUAAGGGGGAAACCUGACGCAUUUGAGAGAGAGGGAGGAAGAGGUAAUGUGGAGACACUUCUGCCUUCUCAAAGCUUCUCUUGUGCUUCUGAAGAACCACUGCAGUGUGCUCUGUUGAGGAGGAACUGAGAACCAGAGACUUGAAGAAAGUGAGUUAUUUACACUUAACUUCUCUUUUACCGUGCUGCACUAGAUCCUAUAACUAC